rnacentral:rRNA from 1 species
ACACUCCUGCGGGAGGCAGCAGUGGGGAAUAUUGGACAAUGGGCGCAAGCCUGAUCCAGCCAUGCCGCGUGAGUGAUGAAGGCCCUCGGGUUGUAAAGCUCUUUCACCGGUGAAGAUAAUGACGGUAACCGGAGAAGAAGCCCCGGCUAACUUCGUGCCAGCAGCCGCGGUAAUACGAAGGGGGCUAGCGUUGUUCGGAUUUACUGGGCGUAAAGCGCACGUAGGCGGACUAUUAAGUCAGGGGUGAAAUCCCGGGGCUCAACCCCGGAACUGCCUUUGAUACUGGUAGUCUUGAGUUCGAGAGAGGUGAGUGGAAUUCCGAGUGUAGAGGUGAAAUUCGUAGAUAUUCGGAGGAACACCAGUGGCGAAGGCGGCUCACUGGCUCGAUACUGACGCUGAGGUGCGAAAGCGUGGGGAGCAAACAGGAUUAGAUACCCCAGUAGUCCCAUGA